AAUUAAUACACACGCAUAUCGACACGUCGUGCUGGGUGUCCCAAUAAACAAGGGGUCGCGCGUCGGGAUUUGCGGAGGCUUAAC
rnacentral:sRNA from 1 species